rnacentral:misc_RNA from 1 species
GAUGAAGAACGUAGCGAAAUGCGAUAAGUAAUGUGAAUUGCAGAAUUCAGUGAAUCAUCGAAUCUUUGAACGCACAUUGCGCCCGCCAGUAUUCUGGCGGGCAUGCCUGUUCGAGCGUCAUUUCAACCAUCAAGCCCCAGGCUUGUGUUGGGGGCCUGCGGCUGCCGCAGGCCCUGAAAACCAGUGGCGGGCUCGCUGUCACACCGGGCGUAGUAGAUUUUAUCUCGCUCAGGGCGUGCUGCGGGUUCCGGCCGUUAAAAAGCCUUUUUUACCCAAGGUUGACCUCGGAUCAGGUAGGAAGACCCGCUGAACUUAAGCAUACAAUAAGCGGAGGA